rnacentral:rRNA from 1 species
GGUUCAUUCAAAUUUCUGCCCUAUCAACUUUCGACGGCUGGGUCUUGGCCAGCCGUGGUGACAACGGGUAACGGAGGGUUAGGGCUCGACCCCGGAGAAGGAGCCUGAGAAACGGCUACUACAUCCAAGGAAGGCAGCAGGCGCGCAAAUUACCCAAUCCCGACCGGGGAGGUAGUGACAAUAAAUACUGAUACAGGGCUCUUUUGGGUCUUGUAAUUGGAAUGAGUACAAUUUAAAUCCCUUAACGAGGAACAAUUGGAGGGCAAGUCUGGUGCCAGCAGCCGCGGUAAUUCCAGCUCCAAUAGCGUAUAUUAAAGUUGUGAGGUUAAAAAGCUCGUAGUUG